rnacentral:lncRNA from 10 species
ACCUGUUACUCGCGGGGCCACGCCCUCUCCAACGGCUGAGCAGUGGAGGGAGGCUGUGGGGAGUGGGGUGGGGGGCGGUCACCGAAGUAAGGAAGUAAAAGACUGCCGAGAGGGUCACGGAAAGGGGAGGGAGAGAGAAUUGAGACCGCCUGGGGAGGAAGACAGGAGUGAGACAGACUGCACAGGGAGAAAGGAAGGCUGAGGGAGAGUCUGAUGCAGGGGGAAAGUUGGGGAAGGGAAACCUGGAGGGAGAAAUUGAGGAAGGACGGCUUGGUGGAAACACUGAAGGCGAUUGGAGUACUUGAACUAAGAGGGAUGGUUCAGAUCAGAGAUCUGAAGUCUAGCAAAGAAAAGGGUCCCAGACAUCAGGGAACACAAGAAGUUGUUUCCAGUAUAUAUAUUUCCAGUAUUACAUAUAUUCCAGUCGGUUCUAAAACGGUUGACAUUGUUGGUACGGGAAAUCUUAAGCAGCAUUUUAGCUCUUUUUACAUAUUUUACUGCUUUUUCUGAAUUGUGUUUGUUUUGUUUCGCCGUCAUUAUUGCCAAUUAAGUGUUUCUUCCUUCAAAAAGUGAGGUAGAGACCAGAUCCUUAAUCCACGUUGGUUGCAUCAUUAGGAUGGCUUCUUCUACCACUCCAGACUUGCUCAAAGAGACCCUUGCCACUACUCUCAAAGGCAAGGUACAUAGUGGACAGUCGCCUACGACGUUCUCCACAUCCUGGUGUGCUAUAUGCAAGUGGAGCCUUAGGUCCCUACUUGUCCCAUAAGCCAUCAAAAGCCUGGUGCCCUCUCUAACUUUCCCUUCCCUCCGCAGAUUAUUUUCUUCUUCCAUUUAAAGCACUCACUCCCAUCUCUUUUCCUUCUGGAUUAGUUCUCCUAAUGAGCCCACACUUUUCAAAAGUCUUUGGGGACCGGUGCGGUGGCUUAUGCCUGUAAUCCCAGCACUUUGGGAGGCCUAGGUGGGAGGAUUACUUGAGGCUAGGAGUUCGAGAGCAGCCUGGACAAUAUAAUGAGACCUCAUCUCUACAAUAAAAAAAGUUUCCGCCCGGCUUGGUGGCUCAUGCCUGUGAUCCCAACACUUUGGGAGGCCGAGGUGGGCAAAUCACCUGAGGCCAGGAGUUCGAGACCAACUUGGC